rnacentral:rRNA from 1 species
UACGUAGGGUCCUAGCGUUAUUCGGAAUCACUGGGCGUAAAGCGCGCGUAGGCGGCGUGUUAAGUGUGAUGUUAAAUCGUGUGGCUCAACUAUAUCGAUGUGUCGCAUACUGGCAUGCUAGAGGGAAGCAGAGGCAAGUGGAAUUUGUAGUGUAGCAGUGAAAUGCGUAGAUAUUACAAGGAACACCAAUGGCGAAGGCAGCUUGCUGGGCUUCUUCUGACACUGAGGUACGAAAGCGUGGGGAGCGAACAGG